AACAAAAUGUGUCUGUUCUAUGCUGCCAUCUUUUUUCAUUGCCUGUGCUUGGCCAACGCCAUCAACUUCACAACCGUCUACGAGUGGAAUGAAUUUGAUUUCGCCUGGCCAUCAGGAGCGAACAGCUCAAAUGGACAGAUUGGAAAUGUUUUUAAAUCAAAUAAUGUUUAUUUCCGAUACAUGGCAGUCUUUGAGGAAAGGCUGUUUCUAAGCCUUGAUAUCAAUUUCGGAAUUCCCGCAACACUGAUGUGGCUGCCAACGAUCGGCACGUCAACUGCCCCUCCAAAGCUUGCUCCUUUCCCAUCCUGGCAUUUACAUAAAAAAGACAACUGCGACGCUAUUCAGGCGGUCAAAGGUGUGGAAACGGACACUGAUGGUCGGUUGUGGGCGCUGGAUCUAGGUUGCAGAAAGUGUCCGAGCAAACUUUGGAUAUUCAACCUUCUCAACAACGACACAACCGACCGCGUUCACCAGUUUCCGGACACAGUUGUUGUCUCUCAUUCAAAUAAUAAAAUGUCCUUGCGUGGUAUAGUGCUGGACAAAACGCCAGACGAUUACCUUGCGUAUAUUGCGGACUUUUACUCUGAACACAUCGUAGUUUACAGCCGAAAAUUGGACAAAUCCUGGUUAGUUAAAACGCCAGGGAGAGAAUGGUUUUCCUUGGCAAUCUCUCCUAACAGGGAAGCGAGACAGUCGUUGUACCUGAGAAGAUAUGGUUCCAAAGACCUCUAUUCAGUGUUCGUGUCUGAGCUGAAGAAUGAAGGCGGACGCGCGUCUGUUCAAUUCAUCGGCGAAUUUAAUGAACCACCUUACAGAAUGUUGAUGGACAGUGCCAAUGUCUUGUAUGCAGCUUUUUUCGGCCAGAAUUACCUGUCCAAAUGGAAUACUUCGGAGCCCUUCCAUGAGCAGAAAUUUCAUGAGGUCUCUCUUUUAGGUCGGAAGUCUGGAUACUAGUUGGCCAUUUACCUUUUCCUUGGACGCGGACGAAACUUUAUGGGUGAUGGAGCGAAACAGAACUGGGGGUGAGGCUAGGCAUAAACUACUCAAGGCUGCAGUCGGCGCAAGAUCAUAGUUACUCACCUCAUCCACUGCCUUGACUUCGCCCUAAGCAUAAGGAACAACAUCAAUGACCACGUCUUCUCUCAGAUUCCUGUUUCUAAAAGACCAAACAAUGAAAAUUUUCUGCAGAAGACCCAACUUGGCAGAUUUUUACCACAAUUUCUACUCAGCACUCGUCUACCCUUCUCCUCACAAUGGAUAGAGACGGGAGUGUCAUGAUAAGCACGCUUUACAGUGGUCAACUUAUAAUAUUAUUUAAUUUCUCAUUGAGCACAAAAAUCUCUCAACAAACAGAUGCGUAAAAGCGAGACUAUAAUUAUAUAAUAUUCUGUGUUUCAUAUUAAUAAAUAGCAAAGUGAAAAAAAAACAAAAUAAAGCUUAACACAUUUUAAACUCUGUGGAUUAGAAUUCUAAAUGAUAAGAGUCCUUGAUAAAAUCUCAGGAAUCAAAAUUAAUUUUUUUAUUUUAAAUUUGCCACUUGCUGGUUUUCGCACCUUUUCAGCGGCGUUAGGGAGACAAAUGUCUGGCGUUUCAAUAAAAGUCCUCACUGUCAGUGCCGCGGCCACGUUCGGCCCAUUCUCCUCUGCGGCCACUCAGGCCUAAUUUGUCUGCUCGGCGGUGUUAUUGGGAACUGGUGAGCUCAUAGCCAGGCGGGAUGUGCUAAGUAGAAGUUGAUAAAUAUACUCGCGGUGUAAAAAAUUCAAAUUUUUUGCGUGUUAGGCACGUGAUUUUUCUUACAAGGUUAAUGAUGCGAUGUGCGAUUUAUCAAAGGCGAGAUAAAGAGCGAAAAAGUUCCGCCUUGGUUGGUUAAAAAGACCGAUUCAAAUCAUUCAAAGCCACUCCUUGACUUUGCUCUCGUUCGCUCCGGAUUUUCCUAAAAAGCUCGAACCCAAUGUCUUCGUUCUUUUUUGCCAUCUUUUUGCACGGCCUGUGCCUGGCCAACGCCAUCAACUUCACAACCGUCUACGAGUGGGAUGAAUUGGAUUUCGUCUGGCCAUCAGAAGCAAACAGUUCAAAUGGACAGAUUGAUCAAAAUUUUAAUUCAAUGGAUAUUUAUUUUCGAUACAUGGCUGUUUUUGAGGAAAGGCUGUUUCUAAGCCUUGAUUUGAAGACCGGAAUUCCCGCCACUUUGGUGUGGUUGCCAACGAGAAGCACGUCGACUGCACCUCCAAAGCUCACUCCUUUCCCGUCCUGGGAUUUACAC